UGUUAAUACUUAUAUAACCUAAGUAUAAGAGCUAUCCUCGCCACACUCCACUGCCCUAAUCUCGUCAACCCUCUCCUCUCACCAUUUCCACGAACCGACGGAGCUGUUCGUCGCAUCUAGAGUUCCGACCGAGCAUUUCACUGCUUAGCUGAGCUUCACAAGGGACACCACGGUUGGAUGGGGUUCACAAUCAGCGUGGCGGCACAUCGUGAUGGCGUUCGAAGGUGACACGAAGAAGGGAGAGAUGGAUAUGAGCUAUGUGGUAGCAGUAUGGGAUGGACGUCUCAGGAUGAGUUCCGAAGAGGACUCUUCCAAACAUGAUUGAUAUUGUAAUUUAUGACUGAGACUGUAAUUUAUUGUUAGCUUCGGCUAUAUGACUGCAUGUUCUCCUAGGAGGUACCUCUAGGAUCAUGGGAUUGUUUGACUGGCUCUAUUAGUGGUUAUUGAAUAUGUGACAUAUCCACCCAUAUUAGCUAUGUACGAUCUUUUACAUAUCAUAUUUUUCUUCGCUAUA